UACAGAGGGUGCAAGCGUUGCUCGGAAUUAUUGGGCGUAAAGGGCAAGUAGGUGGUCUCAUUUGUCUGGGGUGAAAGCCUUGAGCUUAACUCAAGAAGUGCCCCGGAAACGGUGAGACUCGAGUACUGGAGAGGGUCGUGGAAUUCCCGGUGUAGCGGUGAAAUGCGUAGAGAUCGGGAGGAACACCAGAGGCGAAGGCGGCGACCUGGACAGUCACUGACACUCAACUGCGAAAGCGUGGGGAGCAAACAGG
rnacentral:rRNA from 1 species